UGAGCCUACGGGGGGCAGCAGUGAGGAAUAUUGGUCAAUGGGCGGGAGCCUGAACCAGCCAAGCCGCGUGAAGGAAGAAGGCGCCAAGCGUCGUAAACUUCUUUUGUCGGGGAACAAAGGGCGCCACGUGUGGCGUUGUGAGUGUACCCGAAGAAAAAGCAUCGGCUAACUCCGUGCCAGCAGCCGCGGUAAUACGUAGGGGGCAAGCGUUAUCCGGAUUUACUGGGUGUAAAGGGAGCGUAGACGGCAGUGCAAGUCUGAAGUGAAAGCCCCGGGCUUAACCCGGGAAUUGCUUUGGAAACUGU
rnacentral:rRNA from 1 species